GGUGGGGUGCCUGAGUGGUUUAAGGGGACAGUCUUGAAAACUGUUGUACCUGCAAAGGUACCGUGAGUUCGAAUCUCACCCCCACCG
rnacentral:tRNA from 2 species